AUGGAAGGGUGCGUGCCCGCAUGGAGACGCAGCAUCCACGAACAACGAGGAGAUGAGUCAACGCGUGAGCUCCAGCCUUUGAUCGAGCCGGUACUGAGACGACCCCUCCUGAAGUCACCCCCCGACUCCCACUCACUUCACAUAUCUAUCAACAUGCUGUUCUCUAUCCUUUCUCUCCUAGUGUUGCUUUCAGGAGACACAUCAGCACAGACAGUUGUUCCACUUGCAGGAGAAAUUCAUGUUUCAGAGGAAGAUAAAGUUACUCUGUCCUGCAACUACAGUAGCAUCAGCACUAAUGACCCUCUUCACUGGUAUCGUCAGUUUCCCAGAUCCAGACCAGAGUUUCUCCUUUACAUUUACCCACAAGGGGGUACAAGCAAACCUCUUCCCCCUCGUAUGUCUGCUGAAGUUAUAGAGAAUAAUCGUGUAAAUCUGGUGAUCUCCUCUGCUGCAGUAUCAGACUCUGCACUCUACUACUGUGCCCUGCAGCCCACAGUG